rnacentral:lncRNA from 1 species
CAGAGAGAACAAGACCUGAGACUAAUUAAUGAAGGAGAUGUUCCACAUUUACCAGUUAAUAGAGCAUACUCUGUUAAUGGUGCUCUGAGAAGUCCAAACAUGGACAUAUCUUCUUCCCCAAACAUCAGGCUUCGAAGACAUAGUAGUCAAAUUGAAGGUGUUAGACAAAUGCAUAACAAUGCUCCUCGGAGCCAGAUGGCCACUGAAAGAGAUCUCAUGGCGUGGAGCAGAAGAGUGGUGGUCAAUGAACUAAAUAAUGGGGUUAGUAGGUGAGUCAAUAAGGUAACAUUUAGAAAAAAAUUUAAAGCUUUAUUCUUAGGAAGUGAAUUGAAAUGUACUAUGUUAGCCUAGUAAAUGAGGAAUUUUAAAAUAUAGUUUAGUCAUGCAUUAGUUUUUCCAUAUUAUUCCAGUGAGUUCACUUCGUAACAAAUAAUGAUCAUCUUCAGCUUUGUGCUGAAUGCUUUGGGGAAUAUUGAAAAUGCAAAACAUUAUCUCUGUUCUGAGUUUAUAGCCUAGAUUAGAAGAAAAGAAUACAAGUAGUAUUAAGAACUCAUGAGGUCUUACAUAAUUAAAUAUGUGAGUGAUAUAUGGACCCUAACAUUGGAGCAGCCUGGGAGUACAAUUAUUUGUUAGAUGCUAGUGCUUAGAGUAUCUUUAGAAAUGUCAUUUAGGUAGGCUUCAUUGGGUGAAAGAAUUUCAUUAGGAUUAAUUUCAAACUUAUAAUCCCUAUUCAUAUUUGUAAACCCUGACAUUUGCUGUAAUAAUAACUUUCAGAUACUCCACAGCAACUGGAAAUAGAUUUAGAAAAGAGAAAGGACAUUUACAGAGAAUAUGUACAAUUCAUUUUAAUCAAGUAUCUUCCUAACCAAGCCUUUUACCAGAUCAACCAACAAAUAGCAAAAUUAAUUUGGUUUCUCCUUUUCUUCUGCUUUCUGCUAUAAGAAGGCAGCAGUGAUAAG